CUACGGAAGGCAGCAGCUAAGAAUAUUCCGCAAUGGACGAAAGUCUGACGGAGCGACGCCGCGUGGAUGACGAAGGCCGAAAGGUUGUAAAGUCCUUUUGUUGGGGAAGAAUAACCAUGGGAGGGAAUGCCCGUGGGAUGACAUGAACCGACGAAUAAGCCCCGGCUAACUACGUGCCAGCAGCCGCGGUAACACGUAGGGGGCGAGCGUUGUUCGGAAUUACUGGGCGUAAAGGGCAUGUAGGCGGCUCUAUAAGCCCGGCGUGGAAGCCCAUGGCUCAACCGUGGGAUUGCGCUGGGAACUGCAGGGCUUGAAUCAUGGAGAGGGAGCUAGAAUUCCUGGUGUAGGGGUGAAAUCUGUAGAGAUCAGGAAGAAUACCAGUGGCGAAGGCGAGCUCCUGGCCAAUGAUUGACGCUGAGGUGCGAAAGUGUGGGGAUCAAACAGGAUUAGAUACCCCGGU
rnacentral:rRNA from 1 species